GAGCAGCAAGUAUCAGGAGGUCACGGAGAUAAGUAGGACCCGGCUGAUGCAAUGCUGAGCCUGAUGGAGGAGCUGUUAUUGAAGAGCUGGUGCAGAGAGGACACAUUUUGCUCCCCUUCUGUUUGUGCUGCUCCAGACUACAGCUUACUGACAACUGAUGACUUCUAAUUGUAAAACCAAUGGACCAGGACCCAGAGCAGCCUGUGACACCCUAAUAUUGGAUGUUGAUACUAGAUGUAUGGCGCAUGCUGAGAGUCACACAGCCUCGGGGGCCCUGCAGCAGAUGGAAGAAGAGUCUCUACUCAGAGACUUCGCUGCCUACAUUAAGAGACGGUGUGACACAUACAGACAGGAGGAAGCACAAGGGAAGCUUGAGCACUUCAUACGCGAACCCAUCCCAUGAACUUGAAGGCUGUGGGCGCUGGAUGGGAAUCAGUCCCAGCCCUUCACAGGCUGCAGUCCCUGCAGGAGCCCUUGCUGUGCCACUGCAGAGGGUACGUUGCCUCUUUCUACCCUGUAACAACCGUCUCAUAACUGACAACUCUACAGCUGUGGUAACUCCACGUGACUCUUGUAUACAAAACCACAACAGCACAAACUCCCCUGGUGCAGCUCUCAUCCCCCAGUGAGUCCCAGCCAUGCAGCUUGGAGCCAACUGUUGCAGAUCCCACCCUGGUGGUCUGUCAUCACACCUUGCCCCUGGGACGAGGGUCUGCAAGAGGAUGCUGGUUCCUUGAUCCUGACACAGAGAUUCAUGGGCUAAUUGGAGGACAGCCCACCUGUGGCUGUCUCUGUGUAUGUAAAUCCUUUGUCUGGACUAACGUGAUAUUCAGCGAUACAGUCCAAAGAGCUCAUGAGGCAGUCUGCGCUCCUCCUCUGCCUCUCCCCAAAGGAAUGCAGGUCUUGACCACGCACACAGCUGAUACAGGACCUUGACCUUGAACUUUGUGCCUUGGACAUCAGCUUUGUGAGCCCUUAGACAGCCCUUCUGCAGCUGCGUCAGGCCACACACAGUCACAAGUCUCUGCUGGGAGGUGACAGGCACAAAGCUGGCACUGGCUCUGUGAAUAUUUCUCCUUUGCAAAGUCAAACAGGCCAAAAAUAAAUGCUAGUGAAGGAAUAAACAGAUGUGAAAAGAAGGCUUGGACACUUGGAAGACAAGACUGCUUUGUGUUUCCCAAAGCCAUAAGCCUGUUCACACAAGGAGGUUACUCUUUCAGAAAACCCCAAGUCCUGUGACGCUGCCCAGGGUUUGAACAUGCACCAGUUUGUCAGCAGAAGACAGCUUCCAUCUAUCUCAGAUGGACAUAGCCGUAGUGCUGUGGUUGCAUCACUUGCAGGCUGACUCGGGAAGCGGGCAGUGCUGCUGCCUUCUGCAGCUGAGGAAGCAGGUAAAGUGAGGACACGUUCACAUGCAGGGUCCCAGAGCGCUUCUCAAGGGAGCGGGGAAAGUGAGUGGGUGGCUACGUAGGCGACUACUAAAGUUCAGAUCCCCCUUUCAAUGCCCUAUGUGGCAGUAAGGCCAGGAUUUUAAAUGCUUUGCAUUCUUCAAAAGUGUCUUGCGGACAGGGCUCCUCUCUUCUUGUGUCAGACUCGUACCAGCAGCCCAAGCUAGGCCUUUGCUACCUGCCUUGGCUGCAUGUCCGGGACAGGGCGCCCGGCAGUGUGGAUGCGCUUUGCUGUCUGCAGGAACCAGACAGAAUUCAAAGCAAGCAGCUUGGCGCAGACACCUUGUUUUCCGGUAAGCAAAGUUAAACUGCUGCAGUGAUCUCAGUGGGGUUAGGGAGCUUUAGACUUUACUUUAGGGACUUAACUAAAUCUUCACUGAGUGCAGUACCUUUUGAAAUGUGACCUUUAGGCUCUUUAUGUCUCAGCUGUUGUAGAACGAAAACCCCAGUUAAUAUUGAGAAGUGUUAAGGUGAUACAGAGUCUCUCUCGCACACAAAGGGAAGUGCAGUUCUUUUUCUGUCUCUAAAGCACCAAGUUGUGAGUCAGCCAAAGCCUCUGAAGACUGGUUAAGAAACAGGAGCUUUUACAGGCACCUCAUUAGGGCUGAAUUUUCAGCACCGUCUGUAGUCACACACCAAAACAUACUCAUCUCAAAAAGGGCAAAUGUUGGGAAAUUAAGGGAACUAAUUAGUGGAAUCAACUGCACUGAAUAGCGUAUGAGUUGAAUGUGAAACUGGAUUCCAAAACUAGCUGAAACACGCAGGACAAACCCUGAAGGGAAACACUCCAAAACCAGUGGGAUAAAUAACCAGCCCCAAACACACGGGGGGAGUUAACUGACAGCAGGCAGGGAACGGGCAGAAGGUCUGAUUGGCAAGAGGGUAUUCGGUUCGCAUGCAGCCAGGGACUAAAAUCAGAUGUCUGGAGGGGAACCACUACAGGGAACGACCAUCUGCUUUGCUCUUUGAUGGAGCCCAUCACUCCUGUCAUGGGGCUGACUAAGCAGCUUACCCAGCAGGUCCUGAGCAGCCGCUGUUCCAUGGACACGCUCAGUCCGGCAGUUCAGGACCUGCUUUAGGAGUUACUCUGUCGGUGCCACAAGGGCGGCAUCAGAGAAGAGUGGCGGAGCAGAAGACUGGAGGCAGUAUUUGCCUCAGUCAUCCGAUUUUAAUUUGCUGAGGUCAGGAAAUAAAGGGGUAGACUGAAAAAUGUCAGAAGUAAAAUUGUGAACUAGACUUUGAAAAGGAAAUUAGAACAGAUGGCACAAGGUUUCAGCUAGAGAAAUAAAAAGAGGAGAAAUGUGGUCAUUAUGUAGUAGUGAGAAUGGGGUUGAGAUUAGACCAGUCUGCACAUGGUCUAAAAAUGAAUUAAAAACACUUUGCCUACAUUUGCAGUAGAGAUGAUCAUACUGAGCAGCGGGGCAAAGACAGGAUUUCUAGUGGGAACAUACAUAAGGGAAUGAAAAUUGUCACAUGUAAGAUGGAAGGAAAACCUUAAAGAAUUCAGUGUGCUCAGAUGAAGGUGCACUGGCAGAUUUCCAUCCCAGGAUUUGGAAAGAACUGGCACAUUAAAUGAGUUCAGCUUAACCUGAUACUUCUCUUUGAUGACUGCUUUUUUUUUUAGACAAAUGAAAUACAGGUGAUUUACUCUAUCCAGACUUGAGUGAAGAAUCUGAUAUUAUACCACAGGGGAAAUUACUAGUUGAAGUUGAGAAGAUGGGGAUUAGUGUGGAUGGUGAACACAAAACUGCUAAAGCUCUGAGAGGGGAAAUGCCGGACAGAGGCAGUUAAUAAGUGGAACUCCUCAAAGAUAACUUCUUUUUGGGAAAGGAGUCAGUCAUGGGAGUUAAAUGCAGGGAAUUGGAAGGAACAGCCCAGACCAACACCACAAAUGUGUUCCCAGUGAUGGAGCAGUGCGGAAAAGCCAUCCUUACUGGGCGAAUUGGUGGUGUCAGCACAACGCUGGACAAGGGCAAGUACAUGAACUGGGGACACUCAGCUUCUUGGUUGGCCUCCUUCCGGCAGCAGCAAACCCCACUGGAUGGUCAGGCCGCAGAGAUGCUCAAGGACACGACAGAGGCCUGAAAACAAGCCAGUGUUUCUGUAAAGCAUUAAUCACCCUGUGCGGGGCCAGGGGUGGGAAUGGGGAGAGGGUGCACUCUGCCUCGGCAUGCACAUGUUUUCUAUCUAAGCUUUGUUUCAGCUGGAUCUUUCCCACUAGCUCAUCCUUCUUUAACACCUUGUACUCAUUUAUUACGAGGCUGUUUAGCAGCACAAAUCAAUUAAGUACCGCAGAAACCCACUGAGACAGACAGAGGUUCCUAUCUCUGGUUCAGCUGGGGUGGGAGGCGCGCAGAGGUUAAGCCCCGUGCUCCUUGCCACACAGCGAGCGGGGGUGGAGCGCGACGCAGCCCCCAGCUCGCCUCCUGCCUUUCAGCCUCCCCCAGCACCCUCCGUGCCACACCGAGCCCCACUCAGGUACUGCUGAAGUGAGAGGGUCCUGGGGCUUGGCCCCACAUUUGCUGCAGCCCCCUGCUGGGCUGUGGGAGCUGUCACCCCUCCAGCUGUGCCCACGGACACAGGGCUCCCAGCAGAGAGAACAGGGGCAGCCAAAAGGCUUUGCCUUCCCAGCCCUGCUGCGGCUUCUCCAGCCCCCUGGGAUAAGCCAUGCGAGGGGUGCAGCUGGGAGGCCCCGGCCUCAUGGCAGCGAGAGGCCAGGGAAGGUGGGGUGCUUGGGGCAGCCCCAGGUUUGCCAGGGGCACAUCACAGCCCUGAGACGCGGCAGCUGUACGAGGGCCCUGCCUGCAAACAAGCAGGCGGCCAGAGGUACGGCCUUGCUUCCGUGCGCCCGUGGCCAGCUUUACCAUGCUGAGGGCUGCUGGGGCAUAACAAAUGGGGUGUGUUCCUCUGAGGCCUGGCUGAGCCAGUCCUGAGGUGCCCAGCUCUGCCAUAAUGGGGAUAUGGUAGGGUUCGGGCCUCUGUUGUCACCUCUAUGUAUCCUGCUGGAUUCUUCAUCAGGAUAUUGCCUGGGUCCUGCUAAGGAAAUCCACAAUGGCGCAGCUAGUACCUGGGCAGGGGGUUGUGCAGGGCUUUAGGAUGUAGCACAGUCACAAAAGGUGAACAAGCAGAGUCAGAAAAAAAAAAAAAGUGACUUUAAAAUAAUUGUUUAGGUCUUGUUCCAACUGCAGCUUAGCGUGCAGUACCCACUCAGUACCCACUGUAAUGUCUUCAGGCUGUGCUCCCAAUGCCUGCCCUGGUUCAGGUUGGUUUAGAGUUACUUGUAUGUACCACACACUUCAGAAAUAGGAGCUAAUAAUUCAAGCCACAUGACAUAGAUGAUCCACAACAUAAAGGAAAAUAAGAACUAACCAACCAAUUCUUGCUCAUGCCUUUAAAACGUGCUCAGCCAAACUGUACUUUGUGAAUAUCUCUGAGGAGGGCCAGAUUCUGUAGGACAUGUCCUCAGCUCACAGAAAGAGACCAUUAAUCAUUAGGGUGCCUUGGUCCCUGGCUAUUUUAAUCACUGUUGAACUACUCAUGCAGUUCCCACUCCUAAAAAUGGUAUUUGACUCCAAUGCACAUGAUUUCCUUUGGCUUCCUUUCCCCAAUUAAGAGCAAGCCUUAACUACUUGGAAGUGCAAGCACUGGAAUCCAUGGAUUUGCUUCUCAUCUGUCAUGGAGCAAAAGCGUGGUACUACAAGUAGCAUCUGUGCUGCCAGACAUAAACAUCAGCAUAUAUUGUAACCGGCCAGCGCAGUACGAAGCUGUAACGGCUCUUGUGCCUACAGGCUGAUGGCCAAACCCUGUCCUGUGUAUUGGAGCACUGGAAAUGUCUUUAGUCCCUGCUAUAUUGUUAGUCCAUUUCUGUUCCACUUUAUUAAGUAAUGAUUAAAAGUGCUUCUUGUAUUAUGGCACGUCAGUUUGUUGUGGGAGAAGUGGAUGAACAUGGAGUACAUUUGUAAACUGCAGGCUGUAGAAACCAAUAAAUCUUCUUUCAAUUUUUCCCUUUAAAAGCACUCAGCCAAAGUCACAGGAAGUUUAAGGGAAAAACAAAUUGCUCAUCCACAGAUUCAGGAUCACAGUGAAGCCUUGUAAUGCUCAGCUUCUCUCAUGAGGCCGAUGAGCAGCCUGAGGAGUCUGGGGGUGUGCAGAGAAAACUUCAUUGCCUUCCCUUAGUUGCAGACUAAUAAACGCAUUGUGUCCACCUCCAUGGGCUUACCUAAUUUAUAAACUGGAUUGCCACAGCUCUGAAUUUCUCUGCUUUCACUCCUUGUACGUGAACAUGCUCCUGUUGAGCUUGGAGAAAGAACCACUCUGAUUUUGCAUACAGAGAGAGCAGGAGAGGUUUAUAGGAGGAUCAACUUAAAUAACAGGUAAAGUUCUGCAGAUGCACUGCUCAUGAAGGAUCCUUCCAGUGUUUGUCACACCACAUCAGGUCAAGGGCACAAUGACAAACAGUGGGAGGACUAUCAGUGAUUAUAAUAUGGGAUUUAACGCAUAACUACCAAUAGCGUUAUUUACCUGGAAAACUAUGAAUUGUUUUUCUUAUAUCCUUACCAGGCAGGAAAGAGCAUGUACUUUUUUUAAAAAAAAAAGAAAAAAAAAGAAAAAGAAAAAAAAAGCUGCAUAUAAUGCAGCAUCAGCCUCAGUAAUGAGGAAUUUCUGCAUGGCUUUCUGGUUCAGAAGACAAAAUCCUGCCACAAUGCCACAGGAAAGUUUUCAAACUUGAUGGUGCAGAGAAAGGCAUGUACACAAGUCAUACUAUCCAAAAUCAGCUGAUGAGCUUGUGUGCC